AAGAAGUCGAAAAAGUGACCGAGGUCAUUAUUUUCCAUUGACGAUAAAGCUGUAGUACCUACCUCCCACCAGUAGGGGACAGCAGCAGCGGGAUGACGGGCUACAAACACACGGAGGUUCUUGUUUCUCCAUCCGGCUGCUACAGCUCUCUUUCCGGGCACUCUGAAGAAACUCCUGCAGGAAACUUCUCUCGAAUCUGCUGCUUUUCCCGUCGUCCAGCGUCUUUCUGCGCUCUUCGCUGGAGGCGUCCAGCGGUGUGGAGCUCAGAGCGGAACCCGGCGGGCUGCGCGGUUCUCCUCUGCUCACCAUGGCCACCGCACAGCCGGAGCCCGGAGCGGGGGCCGCGGAGGAGCACUGCGCCUCAUCCGAGUCCAACGAACACGACUACGCUCACGCUGUGGAGACUACCUUCAGCUCCGUACCGCCGGCCGAGCCGCAGCCCGGUGACGCCCUCCCCAUAGAGAUGCCGGAACCGGCCGUGGGCGCGGAGGUGGACUGUCCGAUAGGGAACGAUGUGGAGGUGCAGAGCGGAGCAGAGCUCCAGAAGACCGAGGAGCUCGCAGACUUCAGCGUCCCGAAGCGCUUCGGCCGAUGGUGUCCGAAGCGGCCGGAGGACCAAAACUGCGCCUGCUGCCGGAUGGAGUUCGAGCGGCAGGGCCGCAGCUUCAACCGCAGGGCCGUGUACACCUUCACCUCCCCGGACACCGUCAUGUGGGCCUUCCCGGGGUCCGCCGUGCACGAAAGGUCCUUCCUGUGUGAGGCCUGCGCGCAGACCAUCCGGAGCAAGUGUAAGCGCAAACAGAGCGGCAGGCGAUCACUGUGGCUCAAACCACCAGCUGCCAAGCAGUCACAGGCGAGAGACAAGAAGCUGACCGGCCGGCGGAUGGGGAAGAAGAGCAAAGCAGCUCUGCUUGUGAGCAAGUCCAGCUACAAGGCGGCGUUCCAGAUGCUGUGGUCAGCCAAAGGCGCCCGCAAACCCAUGAUGGAGUUCUGGAGUAAGCAGCUGAAGGAGGAGAUGAAGCUGCUGUCGCGGCACGGAGACAGUCCCUUCCAUCAGAAGGUGUCGGGCAGGAAGCCUCUGACGUCCUUCCCCUGGAGGAAGUGUCUGAACUGGGCUCAGGACAAAGCUCCGCUCGUCACCACCUGCCUGCGCUCGCUGUUCCCCGACCUCAACGCUCUCUUCAAAAGCAACCAUCAGCUGACGGAGGAGCAGGCCUUCACGCUGCUGGAGCGGCGCACCGUGGUGGCGCUCUCCAUCCCGCUCUUCACCAGGAACAUCUGGAAGAACAACUUCCUGCAGGCGGCUCUCGGGGCCGAGCUGCGCCUGCAGGGCUGCUCCGGCUCCGCCCUGGACACGCUCAACACCAUGGGACUGUGCCAGAACAAAGACACGGUCCGGUUACUGCUGCACCGGCUGCGCAACGGCAAGGACAUGUCGAUGCAGGAUGAUGAACAGGGGAUGAAACAAGAGGAGCUGAAAGGCAUGAUGGGGGAGACGCUGACAGAUGUGCAGGAGGUGGACAUGGAGGUGGAGGAAGAGGACGACGACGAGGAGGAGGAAGAAGAAGAGGAGGAGGAAGAGGAUGACGAAGAAGAGGAGGAGGAAGACAUUGCGAUGGUGGGGAAUGAAGAGGUGGAAGAGGAAGAAGUGCAGGGUAAUGGUGAUGAUGAUGAUGAUGAAGAGGAGGAAGCAACUGCGAAGGAGGAAAAGAAAAGGAGAAAGAAGAAGGCGAAGAAGCAGAGGAAAGAGGAGAAGAGGAAGGCGAGAGGUAAACGGAAGGCCAAGGAGAGGGAGGAGGAAGAGGAGGAUGAGGAGGAGGAGGAAGGGUCGGAGGAGAAGAAGAGGAGGGUGGUGGUGGUGAGGCUCGGCCUGCUGAAGGGACACUCAGAGGUCGGACGAUCCGACCUAUCAGCUCCCUGACGGGCUGCAGGCUCCGCCUUCAAACUCACUGAGCCUCCAAUCAGAGAGCAGCACACAGACCCCGCCCCCCCCUCAUGUGUUCAGAGGCAUUAUGGGAACUGUAGGAAGUCUUCGCCUCUGUGGCUUCAAGAAACCACUAAAUUCAUGUUGAGAAACGCCAAUCGAUCGUAUUAUCGAUCAUUUACCUUUUUCCCAAAGUGGGAAACGCAUUCAUCUGGAAAACUAAAACGACUUGGAAUUGAAAAUAAAAUUGCUUUACAUUUAGAAACUGAAUUUCUGCUAAUUUUAGGCACAAUCAGAUGAAAUAAUCUGUCGUUUUGCUGUGAUAAUGGGCAUAUAAAGAUUCAGUUUAAUGCCAGUGCACAGAAAAUACACCUGACUUACUGUCACAUUUGACCAAACUCAGUUUAACUUCAGCCUCAGUUACUUUAAAAAAUCUGGAGACUUUCUUGACCUCGAAUGGUUUCCCAGCUAUUAUGAUGAUGUGUGGAAAAAGCGAGGAGACGCGAGCUUCGGGUUUUGUCUUCAGAGGCUGAAAGGUCGUCGACAUGCCCUGAAUGGAAUGGAUUGAUCCUCGUCGAGAUACAGACGUCACUGGGAGGUGAAAACAUCGGCUUUCUAAUCUUGAUUGAGAUUCUGAACUCUUGUGCUGAAAGAGACUGCAGAUGUGAGUUGGGUUUCUGUGGGAGCACGGUUCGAUUCCUGUGGCGAACACUGUGAUGUCUCAGCCUGCUGCUGAGGCGGUUUCUGUUUAUAGACUGAACGUUUUUUCUCUGGAACAUUUUUUUUUCUUUUUGUGUCUGUUUUGUACUUGCCAUGACAGCUUCAGUCUGGAGGCUUCUCUGCCCUUCAUGUGUUCAUGCCAACAUAUCCUGCAUCGAAACGGUUACAUGACACGUCAGAAAGUGGUUUACAAACAACUGAACUAUUAAAACUGUUUAAAUAACUAAGU
ensembl:lncRNA